rnacentral:lncRNA from 1 species
UCCAUCAGUGGGGGUAACUUCACCAAGGUGAAAUUGGUGUGGCACAUUUUCACUGGGAAAGAGGUGGCUGCAAAGACCAUCAGUAAGACUCAGCAGAACUCCCCCAGCCUCCUGUGACUGUUCCAGAAAAACCAAAUCAAGAAGGCCUUGAAUCAACCCACCAUAGUGAAAUUAUCUGAAGUGAUUGACAUUAAGAAAAUCCUCUACAGUAUUGUGGAGUAUGUUGGUGGAGGAGGGGGUGUUCCAUUACCUGGUGGCUGAUGGCAGCAUGAAAGAGAAAAAAGCACAAGGCGAAUUUUGCCAUGAAGUGCCUAUUGUGCAGUGUUACCACCAGAGGUGUAUGGUCCUUAGAGACCUGUGGGCAGAACAUCUGCACAGCUGACAUUGUAGGCUAGCUUCACAACAAAUUCACCUUUGGCAACAAGCUAGCUGCCCUCUGUGGCAGCCCUCUUUAUAUUGCCCCACAGCUCUUCCAGGGCCCAAAGUACAACAGCUGCUAGUGAAUGAGUAAAGACUGGCAGUUAUCCUCUAUCGGCUGCUCAGUGUGCCCCUGCUGCCUUGUGAUAGACAGAACUUCAAGGAGUUGCCAGAGUAGAUAUUGAGAAGAAUAUCUGGUAUUUCUUGCUAUAUGCCCAUGGAGUGUGAAAACCUGCUCAAGAAAUUUCUUGUCCUCAACUCUCGCAGGAGAGGCACUUUAGAGGAAAUCAUGAAGCAUCCGUGGAUGAACAUGGACCACGAGGAGGAACUGAAAUCUAAACUCUUACAUUGACCACUUCCUGCUUUUAAGAAUCCCUGACAGACUGAGAUAAUGCCCAUGGCUUAUACGUGCGAAGAGAUUCAGAGCUUGUUAAUGGGUCAGAAUUAUGCCAAAGCAAUGACCAUCCAUCUGCUCCUGGGCUACGAGAGAUCUGAGAUGGAGCACUACCCCAUUAUCCUCAAGCCUCGGCUUCAGCUCAUCCCACCAACAGCUGUACUCCUUCCUCACUUGCAAGGUAUAGCAUGAGAUCUCUGCCACCUCAAAGCGGCAGAGUUUCAAUGAGCCUGCCAUUCCCACCUUUAAUUCUCACUCUAAGAAUAGCAAAGACAUGGAAGCAGCCUAGAUGCUCAUCAGUGGUGAAUAGGUUAAAUAAAAUGUGCUACAUAUACACUAGAAUACUAUGCAGCCGCAAAAAAUGAAAUCAUGUCCUUUACAGCAACAUGGAUACAGCUGGAGGCCAUUAUACUAGGCAAAUUAAUGCAGGAACAGAAGACCAAGUAUCACAUGUUGUCACUUGUAAGUGAGAGCUAAGCAUUGGGUACACAUGGACAUAAAGAUGGGUAUAGUAGACAGGUACUAGACGGGAAAGGGCUGAAAAAAAAUAUAUAUAUUAUAUAUUUAUAUGUAUAAUGUUUAUAUAUAUAGUAGACAUAUAUUAGAGGCAAAAGGGCUGAAAGCCAUCUAUUGGGUACUGUGCUCACUACCUGGACAACAGGAUCAUUCAUAGCCCAGACCUCAGCAUCACACAAUAUACCGGUGUAACACGCCUGCACAUGUACUCCUGAAUCUAAAAUAAAAGUUGAAUUUAUUUAAAAAGUCCCCUUAUGACCCCUUCUGUGGGGCACUGAACCACUUGUGAUCUGCUGCUACCCAAUCCAUGAAUCACUGAAUAUUCACAUGAACUCAUUAAAUUUUUUCAAAAAUGUAGUCAGAGUGCCACAAGAAUUCAGUGGUCCGGGCAGAACCAGGAGUCAGAGUGGAAGGCCAGUGGCUCUGUGAAAGUGCCUGCUGGUCACCUAAUCUGCCUAGAGGUGAAGACCACCUCCUUACAGCAUAGCCCUCCAGUAUGGCCCUGUGGCCUCCCUCUCUACCCACAAUGCUGGCAGCAUUGGUGGAGCCCAAGUUGAAACUGAUUUCCUCCAGGGUCUCUCCUCCAGAUGAAAAUCCCUUCACUCUGGGCAGUUCGGAAAGGUGCACAACCAGCAAAAUAUGCUUGAGGAUGAGACCCCCAGCCUCUUCUGAUAACAGCCAGACCCUGCAGUGGGGCACUGGGAGGUUCCUCACCAUUGAUCUGCAGAUAUGUAUGUUUCCAGUUGGCCAGAAACAUAACAGCAUAAAGCUGAAAGCAGUGCAUAUCAGACAUAAAAAGAUGGGCAGCAGAGGCAGGAGAGGCAGUGAUAAAAUCAAGAAAGAAUGUCAGGAGUUCAAGCUGUGCUCCCUGGUUUUACCUGGAGAAUGAAGACCAUGAGCUCCGUGUAGCCCACCGAGAUGCCAGAGAUCAGCCAGGUGCCUGGUCAAGAGAGCUUUGUGCAGUGAAGAAUGGAGGUGUCCAAACUCUUUCUGUGGGGUUCAAAUUAAGAUGAUAUUCAGCACCUUUGAGGCCUUCAAAAGCAUUAUCUCCAG